CUAUGGAGCUUUAAACACUUAAGUUAUUACCUUACUUAUCAAUUAAUCUAAAGACCUAACCUACCCUAAUAGUAGCCUAACUUAAUGUUUUCGGUUGGGGCGACCAAGGAGUAAAAGAAAACCUCCUUAUCGAUUGAGUAUUUUUACUUUAAAAACCAGAACGACAGUUCUGAUCAAUAGAAUAUCUAACGAAUAAUGACCCAGGGUUAUACCCUGAUCAAUGAACCAAGUUACCCUAG
rnacentral:rRNA from 2 species